rnacentral:rRNA from 1 species
GUAGCCGGCCUGAGAGGGUGACCGGCCACACUGGGACUGAGACACGGCCCAGACUCCUACGGGAGGCAGCAGUGGGGAAUAUUGCACAAUGGGCGAAAGCCUGAUGCAGCGACGCCGCGUGAGGGAUGACGGCCUUCGGGUUGUAAACCUCUUUCAGCAGGGACGAAGCGCAAGUGACGGUACCUGCAGAAGAAGCACCGGCCAACUACGUGCCAGCCGCCGCGGCCGAA